GACGAACGCUGGUGGCGUGCUUAACACAUGCAAGUCGAACGAAGAGCGAUGGAAGCUUGCUUCUAUCAAUCUUAGUGGCGAACGGGUGAGUAACGUGUAAUCAACCUGCCCUUCAGAGGGGGACAACAGUUGGAAACGACUGCUAAUACCGCAUACGAUCUAAUCUCGGCAUCGAGGAUGGAUGAAAGGUGGCCUCUAUGUAUAAGCUAUCACUGAAGGAGGGGAUUGCGUCUGAUUAGCUAGUUGGAGGGGUAACGGCCCACCAAGGCGAUGAUCAGUAGCCGGUCUGAGAGGAUGAACGGCCACAUUGGGACUGAGACACGGCCCAGACUCCUACGGGAGGCAGCAGUGGGGAAUCUUCCGCAAUGGACGAAAGUCUGACGGAGCAACGCCGCGUGAGUGAUGACGGCCUUUCGGGUUGUAAAGCUCUGUUAAUCGGGACGGAAGGCC
rnacentral:rRNA from 1 species